GAGCGUGAUAUGGCAUUCCUUCAGCGAGAUUCAGCUAUUGCUGAGAGAAAUAAUGCAAUGAUGGAACGAGAUAAUGCUAUUGCCACUCUUCAAUAUCGAGAGAACUCCCUGGCAAGUGGUAAUAUGUCCUCUUGUCCGCCAGGAUGUCAAAUCUCACGUGGGGUGAAGCACAUGCACCACCCACAGCAGCAUCCUCAUCAUGUGCCCCACUCAAGUGAAGCUU
rnacentral:misc_RNA from 1 species